rnacentral:tRNA from 1 species
GGUCUGAUAACUCAACUGGUAGGGCUCUGCUCUAGCAUUGCAGAAGUCAGGGUUCAAAUCCCUGUUCAGGCCU